rnacentral:rRNA from 1 species
GACGGAGGGUGCUAGCGUUGUUCGGAAUGACUGGGCGUAAAGGGCGCGUAGGCGGCUCGUGAAGUCGGGUGUGAAAGCCCGGGGCUCAACCCCGGAACGGCAUCCGAUACUGGCGGGCUUGAGACCGGGAGAGGAGGAUGGAAUACCCAGUGUAGAGGUGAAAUUCGUAGAUAUUGGGUGGAACACCGGAGGCGAAAGCGGCUCUCUGGCCCGGAUCUGACGCUGAGACACGAAGGCCAGGGGAGCAAACGGG